rnacentral:misc_RNA from 1 species
GUCCAAAACCCUAAAGAAAUAAAAUUAGUCGAAGAUCUAACUCAAGAACAAAGAAAUAAAUCUAUAGCUUUAUUAACAAAUUACCAAGAAGUGUUGGCCUAGUCUUAUAAGGAUGUGCUUGGGAUUGAUUGAGAUAUAGUAUAGCAUAAGAUGACUACAGAUCUGAGUAUAAGGUCGAUAAAGCAAAAGAAAUAUCGACUUAGAGUUGAAUAGGAAGAAAAGAUAGCUUAAGAAGUGAAAAAGCUCAUUGAGACUGAUUUCAUUGAAGUAGUUGAAUAUUUGGAAUGGUUAGCUUACAUUGUCCGGUUCCUAGGAAAGAUGGAUGUAUUCGAAUCAGUGUGGAUUGCUGGGAUUUGAACAAAGCCACCCCAAAGGAUGAUUUUCCAUUAUCCCACAUCAAUGUGUUGAUAAUUCUGCUUGAAUGGCCAUGUAUCCCUUCAUGGAUGGUUUCUUAAGUUAUAAUUAGAUUCUCAUGGACUUCAUAGAUAAGGCAAAGACAACUUUUAUUACAAAAUGGAGAACAUAUUGCUACAAGGUCAUGCCUUUUAGGUUGAAAAAUGCUGGUGCAACUUACCAAAGGAUAGGCACUAUGCUUUUCCAUGACGGGAUGUAUAAGGAAGUCAAGGUAUAUGUAGAUGACAUGGUAGUUAAUUCCCUAACUAGGAAAGGACACUUUGAGGCAUUGGAAAAGUUCUUCCAAAGGAUAAUCAAGUACAAACUAAAAGCGUAGUCCUAGCAAGUGUGUUUUUGGGGUUACUUUCAAAAAGCUAUUGGGGCACGUAAUUAGCAAGAAGGGGAAUGAGAUUGAUCUAAACAAGUAAUUUAAGAAAUGCUAGCUCCGAAGACGGAAAAGGAAGUUAGAGGAUUCCUA